CCUACGGGUGGCAGCAGUGAGGAAUAUUGGUCAAUGGCCGUAAGGCUGAACCAGCCAAGUAGCGUGAGGGAAGACUACCCUAUGGGUUGUAAACCUCUUUUAUGCGGGGAUAAAGGUGUCCACGUGUGGAUGUUUGCAGGUACUGCAUGAAUAAGGACAGGCUAAUUCCGUGCCAGCAGCCGCGGGAAUACGGAAGGUCCGGGCGUUAUCCGGAUUUAUUGGGUUUAAAGGGAGCGUAGGUGGGUCUGUAAGCAUGCUGUGAAAUUUUGUGGCUCAACCUUGAGAGUGCGGCGGGGACUGGAAACCUUGAGUGCGCGGAAGGCAGGCGGAAUUCGUGGUGUAGCGGUGAAAUGCUUAGAUAUCACGAAGAACCCCGAUUGCGAAGGCAGCCUGCCGCAGCGUUACUGACGCUGAAGCUCGAAAGCGCGGGUAUCGAACAGGAUUAGAUACCCCGGUAGUC
rnacentral:rRNA from 1 species